GCCCAGGUGGCGGAAUGGUAGACGCGCUCGUUUCAGGUGCGAGUGUCGAAAGAUGUGCAAGUUCGAGUCUUGUUCUGGGUA
rnacentral:tRNA from 1 species